CCGCGGUAAUACUCCUACGGGAGGCAGCAGUGAGGAAUAUUGGUCAAUGGGCGAGAGCCUGAACCAGCCAAGUAGCGUGAAGGAUGAAGGUCCUAUGGAUUGUAAACUUCUUUUAUAGUAGAAUAAAGUGACCUACGUGUAGGUUUUUGUAUGUAUACUAUGAAUAAGGAUCGGCUAACUCCGU
rnacentral:rRNA from 1 species